rnacentral:tRNA from 1 species
ACUCUCAAAGGAUAGAAGCAAUCCAAUGGUCUUAGGAACCAUCCACCUUGGUGCAAAUCCAAGUGAGAGUA